rnacentral:misc_RNA from 1 species
GAGCCACUCAGGGUCAACGAAGUUGCCACCAGCUUUAACACCAGGGAUCCAAGAUUUCUUUGGUUUAGCAGCAGCCACAACCACAAACUUCCCUGAACCACUUCCCGUUUUAUUUCCUCCAAAACCCAGCAAGGCUUGAGUUCUCUUCCCUCCACACAAGAAGGAAGAUCCCAACCCAUUAAGCAGAGCACCAGAAGUAGCGGCCAUGUCUGCAGAAUCCAAGCGAUUAUAUUACUAUAUUUUAG